AGAUGCUUUCAUAGAUGACCUCAAUGAUCGACAGUCUCCUGCUUUCAUAAACAGGGCUAGGCUUGUUGAGGAUAUCCUUACACUUAAUUUGAAGAAGUUCCAUUCCUUCCUUAGAGUCACUGUGCUACUAUUCAGCAAGGGAUCAGUCAUCACCACAUCAGAACUUGCUUUCAACUCUAUUCAGACUGUGCCAUCAGAACUCCAAAUUGCAG